rnacentral:rRNA from 1 species
GACGAACGCUGGCGGCGUGCUUAACACAUGCAAGUCGAGCGGUAAGGCCCUUUCGGGGGUACACGAGCGGCGAACGGGUGAGUAACACGUGGGUGACCUGCCCUCAGCUCUGGGAUAAGCCUGGGAAACCGGGUCUAAUACCGGAUAUGACUCCAUGACGCAUGUUGUGGGGUGGAAAGCCUUGUGCGGCUGAGGAUGGGCCCGCGGCCUAUCAGCUUGUUGGUGGGGUGANGGCCUACCAAGGCGACGACGGGUAGCCGGCCUGAGAGGGCGACCGGCCACACUGGGACUGAGACACGGCCCAGACUCCUACGGGAGGCAGCAGGUGGGGAAUCUUGCGCAAUGGGCGAAAGCCUGACGCAGCGACGCCGCGUGAGGGAUGAC